rnacentral:lncRNA from 1 species
UUUGUUUUUGCAACUUUUCAUUUUUUGAACUAACUAAAUAGUUCCCAACAUUGGUUAUCCAACACAGCAAGUACACGACUUAUGUCAGUCUGCAGAAAAUAUGUUAUUUCCUAUGGUUACACACUUUUUCAAAUGCUAUCCUUACACGCUUCAUCUUAUGGUUACAUACUUUUUCAAUUGCUAUCCUUACACGCUUCAUCUGUAUCUGAAAUCUAUUCUUUUUCAUCAUUUUACAUCUCUUUCUUCAACUCUUUCAUUUGUCCUUCAAACAUUAGGUAUCAUCUCUCUCUUCCCUUUCUUGCAUUUUUUUCAUCAAUCCAUCUUUUUUUAUGUGAAUCAAACUCUAACCCUUCAUCCAUCAUCACAUAACAUUUUUCUUUUAACUUUUUUAGAUCUGUUUUGAUUGUAACAUUUAUAAUUUUAGAUUUUUUUCAUUUUUUUUUCCGAAUCUGAUUUUUUUUCACCAUCUCAGAGUAAUUGAAUAUAAUGGUGUAAUUUUUAGUUAUGGUGUUAAUGUGUGUUUCCCCCUUAUUCCACUUUGUAGGACGGUACGACCCUUGGCAAUGAUAAAAUGACAUACAUGAGGAAAUAUCUUUAUAAAUUUACUUUGGAAUUCCCCCGUAAAUGGUUUAGGCUAUCCAACAACAAAGAGCAUUUGGAUCUGAUUUUUAUUGAUAAAGUGUAAGAAACUGGUAUCUUUUUACUAAUUCUAAUCAUUUUUUAUGAAUGUUAUUUUGAACAUGAUAUUUUGGUUUGUUUACACUUUCAUGAAAUUGGUUGAGCCACAUUUCUCCAAAAUCUAUCCACAACAACUUUCCUGUUCAAAUCUUUGUUUGAAGUUUUUACCCCAAACACAAAUGGCUUGAAUUCAUUUUCCCUAUUUUUUGGUGAUCAAUUUUUUAUCUUCUUUCAUUCUGUUUUUUGGUGACCAAUUUGUUACAUUCUUUCAUUGUCAAUAUCGGGUGUCAAAAUAUUAUUUAUACCAAAACUACUUCUAUUAUCACCAUACAUGCGAAGUUAUUCAGCUGAGGAAUCAGGUAACUAGUAAUCUGCAAAAUGUGUCGUAUAAUCUUUUAUGUAUGUAUUAGCUGGAAUUUCGACGUUGGAAAAAAAUAUAAUAUUUUCGACGAAGAGUUGAGGAGGCAUAGUCGAAAGAAUAUUUUUGUUAAAGAAGGUUUGGUCUGGAAUUUAGAAAUAUUCUUGGAUUCAGAUUUACUUUUCGACGAAGGUGUCUAUUGGGAGUUGCGUUCGACGAGCGUGAUUCAAAUUAAGGCUCAUAACCGUUUUUUGGCCUUAUCCCUUUCUUGAGAAGACGCGUGGAAAGCAAUGAGUAGUGAAGUCCAUGCAAGCGAGAACGUGUCAUCUUUUGCAUAAGAGACCGUUUAUUAUGUUAUUUCUGAUUUAUUAUAAAUAGGGAUCUUAGUGAUUAGUAUUGGGGCGUUCCAUUUUGUACAAAAACUCAUAUAUUACUCAAAGUAUUCGUGUUAUUGAAAAACGAGUUCUUGAAUGCAAUGUCUGUGUGAUCACCAUUUUUACUUUUGUAUCAAAUUAUUAUAAUUUUGUUAUUUACUUUCUUUGUAAAUUUACUUUGAAGUUAUUUACAUUGUCAUUUACAUUUCUGCAUUUCUUUACAAACGUCAACAUUAUUUUCAAC